ensembl:snRNA U6 U6 spliceosomal RNA
GUGCUCACUUCGGAAGCACAUAUACUAAAAUUGGAAUGAUACAGAGAAGAUUAGCAUGGCCCUUGUGCAAGGAUGGCACACAAAUUCGUGAAGUGGUCCAUAUUUUU